UAAUCUAGUAUGUUGGUAUUAUAAAUUUACUGUAUUUCAAAAUAUAUAUUCUCUUAGAGAGAGAGAGAGAGAGAGAGAGAGAGAGAGAGAGAAGAGGGAGGGAGGGAGGGAGAAGGAGCAUUAGGAGGAUUCUUCUACCAAGAGAGUGACUUAUACUUUCAUAAUAACAGCUUACAAUUUGCUUAAAAAGAAGAGACAAGUGACAAUUUUUGAGUCUUAUGAAAAAGUAAGACUUGUGUUAAAAUGCUUAUACAAUUAACCACUACAUCACAUUUACUAAACCAAUUGGCUUGGUCUUCUUGUUUUCAUGGAAGAACCUGCAAAAGAUAAGGAUGAAACCAUCAUAUACCCCCUUAAAAAAAAACUAAUUCAAUCAACCCGAUGUUACAUAAUUACUAACAUUUAACCAUAUUGUGGGGGAGAGGUAACCAGGAUUUUCUUAGAGAGAGAGAGAGGACAUGUGCAAGAGCAUUAGGAGGAUUCUUCUCAAAAUUGCCAAGACAGUCACUUACACUUUCUUAAUACUGACUUACAAUUAACUUAAAAAAAAGAAGACAAAUAAAAAUUUUGCAGUCUAAUAAACAAGCAAGUCCGUGUGUUAAAAUGCUUAUGCAAUUAACCACUACUUCACAUUUACUAAACCAAUUGGCUUGGUCUUCUUUUUUUCAUUGCGGAACCUGUAAAAGAAAGGGAUGAAACCAUCAUACACACCCUCGAAAAAAAUGACAUAGAUAUAAUUACUAACUUUGAACGACAUUAUUGGGAGGGACAGUUGCGAGCUUAAACAUGGACAGUAAAAUGAACAUGAAAAAUGACAAAUAUAUAUAUAAUCAUCGAUUUCUAAACAAUCCAGUAUGUUGGUGUUAUAAAUGUAGUGUAUUUCAAUAUAUAUUUUGUUAGAGAGGGGGAGAGAGAGAGAGAGAGAGCAUUAGGAGAAUUUUUCUCAAAAUUGUCAAGAAAGUCACUUACACUUUCAUAAUUCCGACUUACAAUUAACUUAAAAAGAAAAACAAAUAACAACUUUAGAGUUUUAUAAAUAAACAAGAAGUGUCUUAAAACACUUACGCUAUUAACCACUACUUAACAUUUGCUAAACCAAUUGGCUUGGUCUUCUUCAUGGAGGAACUUGCAAAAGUGAUGCAACCUAUCCGAGAUGAUAGUGAUGAAACCAUCAUACAACCCCCUCCCCUCCAAAAAAAAAAAAAACAAAAACAUUUUAAUCAACCUUACAUUAUGGAUAAAAUUAUUUACUUUAAACAACAUUAUUGAGAGGGGCAGCUAUAAACUCAAACAUAAAUAGUAAAAUAUAUAUUUUCUUAGAGAGAGAGGACAAGUGGAAGAGCAUUAGAGAGAUUCUUCUCAAAAGUCACUUAUGAAAUUGUUAAGAGAGUCACUUACACUUUCAUAAUACUGACUUAAAACGAAGAGGUAAGUAACAAUUUUAGAUUCUUAUAAACAAGACAGACGUGAUAAAAUGCUUAUGAAAUUAACCACUACUGCCCUCCUACCGUUUAAACAAUGGACACAAAUCCUAAAUAUUGAUGUAUGCUUACUGCAAUUGAACCUAUUCGAAAUUCGAUAACUUUGAAGCUACUUGAACCACUAAUUAGUCAAAAUACCUACAUAUAUUACCAGAAGUAACUGCAGUUGAAGGAAUCUUACACCUGAAACAGUCAAGCUACACUUAUCGAAAUGUAAAACAUUAAUCUAACAAGACAAACACUGACUAGUAUUUUCUUUUUCCUACUUAAGAAGCUUAAAUACUAGUAAAGCCACAGUCUUCCAUGACUGAACAUAUAAAUCAAGAGUGACAGCAAAUCUACUGGAUGUUUCACAUCCUAACUUUCUCUAGAUAAAUAGAACAAUUUUCUUGUUUUGCCUUGACUCUAAAAUCUCUUAUAACCCUAAGCAAUAUCGCAGAUUGUGACCAUUAAUAUCGAAUGGGUUUUAUUCCCACUAACCUUGUUAAUGCUUUACAACACCAAUGAAUUCUAUGCAAUCUUAAAAUUGAGGAGCUCCACAAGUGAAAUCAUGACAGCAAUAACAAUAUUUUUAUAGUAAUUUCUCAAAGAUUCAUCAACUUUCAGUUUAGUAUCUCUGCAAAUCUUUGAUGAUUCUCCAAUUAUACAGACUAGACUUCAAUAAAGCAUUCAUUAUUAUGAUACUCUUGAUUCAGGUUCAUUAAACAAACGGUUUGAAGAACACACACCUGCUAGCCAUUUUGCACCGAAAUAUGCUAAGAGAGAUGUUAGUCACAGUCUUAAAUUAUUGACGGACCCAUGGUUUCAAUAAACCUUUCCAUACCUUCAAAGAAGUAAGUUUUCAAUGGUAAGGACUUGCAAUCGAACUGUAAUGGCCAAUUUUGACCCAGGCACAAGAAUAAAACAAUAAAUAACCAAUUAAUAAAACCUAGUGCCGCCCCUAACCUCUGCCACCAGCUGCCAUGGCAGCACCACCACCUGCUCCCGUUCCAUCGCCUGCAAACAGAGAAAAAGAAGCACGCAACAGAGAACCAAAACCCACACGCAACAAUAAAGGAACAAGCAGGAACGACAAAAAAAAUAGGAGUAAACAAGUCUUGUGAAUCUUAUAAAAACCCGAAAUUUACCUUUGCAUUUUUUUUAGCCACAAACAAAAGGCAGAAACUAUUAAUCUAAAAGAGAUUUUAAGGUGAUUUUUGGUUUUUACAAUAGUUUCUUUCAUCUAGUUCUUGGUUUUGAUUUCAUUUUUUUUCGUGUUUUAGUUCUUUUUUCUUUUUCAUGUACGAAAAUAAACGAAAAGGUAAAGAGAAAGGUAACCUCACCUUGAUCUUCCCACGGACUCAUCGCUGGAGAUCUCUUCUCCAAUGGCCAAAGUCGAAUCGGGGAGAGGGGGGACCUUUCUUUCGAUUUCUUGAGGGUUGAGAAGGCAUGGCCUUCGAAUGUGCCUCAAAACGAGGCUAAGAAGCCCAUCUCCGCACUUUCUGUUCUUUUUAAAAUUGGGGGCUGGAAAUGAAAUUAGAAAAGAAAGGUUUUUUUGUUGUAUAAAUGAUGAUGAUGGAAGGGCGCCGUUUGGUGGAGUGGGGGGUGUGCAUUCUCCCUAAAUGGGGAAUCUGCGAGAUUGGUCCUUCUCCUUUGCAACUUCAUUCGAUCAGGCCCCAGCUUCUGUUUUCUUUUGUUUUUUUAAUUUAGCUCUUAGAUUUCGCUUGGGUUACAUUCGGGUCCUUUGAAACACUGCACAUAGGGGUUGAGAAUAUUUUCCCAAUCAGUCCCUCGUUCUUUAUGCGUAUUUCAUUUCGGUCCUUAGUGGCCCCUUUUCUUUUUUUUAUUUACAAUUUGCACCUUAAAUCUUAAUUAAAUUUCAGC
rnacentral:lncRNA from 1 species